rnacentral:lncRNA from 10 species
GAUAUGCCCUGUAGUCCCAGCUGCUUGGGAGGAUCACUUGAGCCCAGGAGUUUGAGGCUGCAAUGAGCUAUGAUCCAUGCCACUGCACUCCAGCCUGGGUGACAGAAUGAGACCCUGUCACGCCUCUUCGACCCCGCAAAAAAAAAAAAAAAAAAAAAAAGUAAGGAGACUGGAUACAAGGUGACUUUUAAAACACAGGGAGGAAGUGAGAAGGACUCUAGGCCUCAAGUGCUCUGGAGAGGAUCGUUCCAUGGAGCCAAGACACCAGGCGGAAGGGAAGCUGCUUCCUCACCAGGCACCAUCCUGUCCUCUCUGAGGCCAGAUUCGGGGCUCACUAACUCCUUUGUUGCAGGCCAGGGCUUAGAACUUCCCUUUCUAUGAUUUAGGGCAAAGGAUGUGCAGGAGAGGGGAAGGCCAUGUUUCCUUGGUCUUGAACUCAAGGAGGAGCGUCAAGUCCUUGAAAAGUAUCAGUGAAGGCAGGAAGUGCCAUGAUUCUCAUGCCGUCUGACUUCAGAUUGGAAGUCACUAUGCGUAACCUUAGUAUCUUUCCAGGAUCACUUUUCUCAGUUGUCCAGAAAUCUCCACUGUGACCCAAAUCGCGCUGGCAAUUCCCCUCCUCCUGCAAGUCCCAUGCUAGAAUUUGGAUGCCAUGUAAGUCUUUGGUUUAGACCCCGUGUAAAUCCUGAGGUUGGCAUCAGAUUGUCAGACAGAAGGGAACACUGAACUCUGUGUGGUGUCCAGCACAGGCCAUGUGCAGACACUGCUGCUGCUGCUGAUAAUGAUGAUAAUGGUGGUGAUGAUGAUAAUAAUUUAUCUUGAAUUUGCUGGAUAAGACUUUUGGUUAUGGAUCCUGCUUAGGGACAGUCCCAGGAUGACUGGGAUCAAAGAGAUGAGAUGAGAGAGACUCUAAUGAUCCAUUCCACUGGGAAAUGAGCUGGUUAGUGUAGAAAAGAAAAAUCCUAGGAGGCUUGGACUAAAAGUAAAAACACUACUGAGAUCAUUUACAGGAGCAGAGAAAGAGCGAGAAAGAGGGAAAUGGUGAAAGUGAGGGUGGGGGAUUCAUAUGACCCCAGUCCUAUCAGGGAAAGCAACGCUCUUGCUGGAGACUGUCUUUAAAGGAAUAAGAAUGCCCUGGAGGCGUUUGAAAUCCAUCUCACAGUCAACAGGCAUUAGCAACUGCAAGAUAUUUACAGGAAGCUUUUCCUCCAUGACAGAGAAAAAUACUUGGAGGAAGAGGCAGGUAGAUCCCCAAAUUCUGUUUGUACGAGAUGCCUCCACACCUUUUACACACCAUUCCAUCUGCCUAAAUGCCCUGCCGUCCCAGAUGUACCUGUUUUUUGCUUCCCACUUCCCUACUAAAUUAGGUGGUCCUUCUCUAUGCUCAUAGGGUUAUUGUGAGAAUUAACACGUGUAAAAUCCUUAGACCUGGGACAUAAAUAUUCAAUAAAGAUGUUCUGUUGUCAGUGUUGUUCUACCACAGUGCCCUUUGCACACCUCCACAUGAAUCCCGUGGGUUGGCAAUCAUAUAUGCUUGUCUAUUGCACCCCGUCUGUGAGUUCUUGGCCAGCAGGAACCAUUCAUUAAAUGUUUUUGUAUUCUUAUAACCUGGGUAUGCUAAGUGGGAUUUGGGACAGUUCAGAACCUGGAAUAUGCUAAGUGAUCCUUAAAUGUUGAAUAAAUGUACAAAUGAAAAAUGACUGUUUAUGCACU